rnacentral:rRNA from 1 species
AUGAACGCUAGCGGCAGGCUUAACACAUGCAAGUCGAGGGGCAGCAUAAUGGAUAGCAAUAUCUAUGGUGGCGACCGGCGCACGGGUGCGUAACGCGUAUGCAACCUACCUUUAACAGGGGGAUAACACUGAGAAAUUGGUACUAAUACCCCAUAAUAUCAUAGAAGGCAUCUUUUAUGGUUGAAAAUUCCGAUGGUUAGAGAUGGGCAUGCGUUGUAUUAGCUAGUUGGUGGGGUAACGGCUCACCAAGGCGACGAUACAUAGGGGGACUGAGAGGUUAACCCCCCACACUGGUACUGAGACACGGACCAGACUCCUACGGGAGGCAGCAGUGAGGAAUAUUGGUCAAUGGACGCAAGUCUGAACCAGCCAUGCCGCGUGCAGGAUGACGGCUCUAUGAGUUGUAAACUGCUUUUGUACGAGGGUAAACGCAGAUACGUGUAUCUGUCUGAAAGUAUCGUACGAAUAAGGAUCGGCUAACUCCGUGCCAGCAGCCGCGGUAAUACGGAGGAUUCAAGCGUUAUCCGGAUUUAUUGGGUUUAAAGGGUGCGUAGGCGGUUUGAUAAGUUAGAGGUGAAAUUUCGGGGCUCAACCCUGAACGUGCCUCUAAUACUGUUGAGCUAGAGAGUAGUUGCGGUAGGCGGAAUGUAUGGUGUAGCGGUGAAAUGCUUAGAGAUCAUACAGAACACCGAUUGCGAAGGCAGCUUACCAAACUAUAUCUGACGUUGAGGCACGAAAGCGUGGGGAGCAAACAGGAUUAGAUACCCUGGUAGUCCACGCAGUAAACGAUGAUAACUCGUUGUCGGCGAUACACAGUCGGUGACUAAGCGAAAGCGAUAAGUUAUCCACCUGGGGAGUACGUUCGCAAGAAUGAAACUCAAAGGAAUUGACGGGGGCCCGCACAAGCAGCGGAGCAUGUGGCUUAAUUCGAAGCAACGCGAAGAACCUUACCAGGUCUUGACAUCGAUCUAAAAGGGAUGGAGACAUCCUCAUAGCUAUAGAGAAGACAGGUGGUGCAUGGUUGUCGUCAGCUCGUGUCGUGAGAUGUUGGGUUAAGUCCCGCAACGAGCGCAACCCCUACCGUUAGUUGCCAUCAGGUGAAGCUGGGCACUCUGGCGGGACUGCCGGUGUAAGCCGAGAGGAAGGUGGGGAUGACGUCAAAUCAGCACGGCCCUUACGUCCGGGGCUACACACGUGUUACAAUGGUAGGUACAGAGGGCAGCUACCCAGCGAUGGGAUGCGAAUCUCGAAAGCCUAUCUCAGUUCGGAUUGGAGGCUGAAACCCGCCUCCAUGAAGUUGGAUUCGCUAGUAAUCGCGCAUCAGCCAUGGCGCGGUGAAUACGUUCCCGGGCCUUGUACACACCGCCCGUCAAGCCAUGGGAGCCGGGGGUGCCUGAAGUUCGUGACCGCAAGGAGCGACCUAGGGCAAAACUGGUGACUGGGGCU